AAACUGACACGCGGGAGCUUGGACCGUCCAGGCUGAGAGUGCGCGGAACGACCGUACGCCAUGCAGAUGCUGGCCCCACGGCGAGGGAGCGCAGACCGCUCGAACCUGUCCGGGUAAUGCCGGCGUAGGGAGCUUCGGCCAUGACGGC
rnacentral:ncRNA from 1 species